rnacentral:rRNA from 1 species
CAGCAUACUGCCGUGAAUACGUUCCCGGGCCUUGUACACACCGCCCGUCACACCAUGAGAGUUGGGGAUACCCGAACGCCUGUGAGCUAACUGUAAAGAGGCAGCAGUCGAAGGUAAAAUCAAUGAUUGGGGUGAAGUCGUAACAAGGUACC